GCCUCCAUCGCAGAUCGCUUCCCUCUCUUUCUCGCCUAUCCGACCCAAGCGUGUGCGGCCGAAUCCUUUUAUACAUCCCAUGGGCCGGAGAAACAAAGGCGGGGGAGCCGUUUCAGUGGCCAAAUUAUCAGAUCUUUCUUUCUUAAUCUUCCUCUCCUGGUUUGGUGAGAAGGCUAUGCCAAUAAGGAAUCCUGUUGUCGCUGCUGAUUUUUCAAGCUUGACUGGGACUAUGAAUCUGUAUGCAUUACAAUCUCAAUUGCUCUUGGUUUUUUCUUUUAUUUUCAUGAUGUCUUGUGUUAUAUCAAUGUUCUGUUAGGGUCUAAUAAACAACCAAAACGAUUGUUCUGCUCACCUGGUUCAGUUCCGAGAUGAAAGCCUCCAGAAGGGAACCUGGCCUUAACUGGCUUCUCACUACU